GGAACAUUGGCUCAAUUGGUGAGAGCACGCGGCUCAUAACCGCGCGGUUCAAGGUUCAAGUCCUUGAUGUUCCACCA
rnacentral:tRNA from 1 species